rnacentral:ncRNA from 2 species
CUAUCUGACCGUCUGAAUGGUGCCCGUCAGGCGUGAAACGCCGGGCUUCAUCGGGAACGGGGAAGGGUGGACCCAAUCGCGGCACCCGAAGCCCCGGCCGCCCCCGCGACUGUAUGCGGAGAGCGCGCGUCACCCAUGCCACUGGAGCGAUCCGGGAAGGCCGACGCCGCGCCCGGACCCGCAAGCCAGGAAACCGGCCAUGUCAGGCAACCCCAU